GACGGAGGGGGCUAGCGUUGUUCGGAAUUACUGGGCGUAAAGAGUGCGUAGGCGGUUUAGUAAGUUGGAAGUGAAAGCCCGGGGCUUAACCUCGGAAUUGCUUUCAAAACUAUUAAUCUAGAGUGUAGUAGGGGAUGAUGGAAUUCCUAGUGUAGAGGUGAAAUUCUUAGAUAUUAGGAGGAACACCGGUGGCGAAGGCGGUCAUCUGGGCUACAACUGACGCUGAUGAACGAAAGCGUGGGGAGCAAACAGG
rnacentral:rRNA from 1 species